UUGAUAUCCUUCGUCAAAUCCUUUCCUUAUUUUUCUCAUCUUAUCCCCACGCCCACCGCUUCUGCUCAACUUUAUCCUCCGUCCCACCCCCACGUUCCUCCUCGAAGACGCCGCUUCGGCGGCCGGUUUCUAAGGAGGCAGAAGAGACCGUGUAGCCUUCAUCGAGAGGAGCUGCAGACGGUCGGGAAUGUAUGGAGCUGGGCGCCGGGUGAGAGGUACGCAGCGGCAGGUGGCGUUGCGUGGGCGGCGCGGUGGAGGACCUCGGAGCCCUCCUCUUCCAUGCCUUUCCCCAUCUCCACCGCUUACCCUCAUCUCUAUUCAUCUUUCCAUCCGCAUCUUUACCAGGGAGAGCUCCAUCCGUAGCCAUGGCUAGGUCUUCAGAUUGAACUUUAUUGAGCAGGAUGCAGGCGUUUCAGCGGCGUCUCAGCGGGGCGGCGCUGCGAGCGGGGCGAAGCCGAUCAGCCAGGAUAGGACAUCACUGGACGGUUCAGGAAAUCAGUUCGGCAAUCCACAUGGAAGGUCACCGACGCGAAUGAGCGUUGCCGCAGAGGAGGUCGUCGAGAAGUCCGUUCCGCCCAUUGCUGCUACUGAAGCGACCCUGAUGUGUAGAGCUUGCUUUGGAGGUCGUUGAUGGACUGUGGGGGUGGCGUCUCUCCUUCUUGGUCAUUAGUGCAUUUCUGUUGCUCAAGCGAGGUUGUGUUGUGCAACAGGCUGGUGAAGGCCUGCCGGCCACUAUGUUUCCCGUAUGAAUUAUUCAGCAGGUUAGUGUAAUAUGAGUACAUGCGGUUGUUCCGCCAGCCAGCGUCCUGCCCGUUUUGUUUCUCUUGCUACUCAUGGACUGCAGGGUUUCUCCGAAAUCUCAAAGCUACCAAUGUGACAGUAAAGAAAACAAAAGAUGACAUACAUAUUGAGCAGAGACACACUCUUUGCAUGCUCAGAUUCAGACAAGUGAAUGCAAUAUUCUUUCUGUUAUAUUCGAAAAAUUGGCUUCAGCCUGCAUGUAUGAAAAAAGGGAAUAGGAUGGAAGCAAGAACUCAAUGUCCAAGCUUUGAUUUUGUCUUAGAAAUCCAUUGUCAUUAUCAGGAUCAACUGAUUUUCGCAAAAUGUUAUGAUUGGAUUCAGGGCUUCUGAUUGUAAUCAAAGAUGACAUCUUGAUAUCCACUCUCCAUUCUACGUAAUAAUACAUUGACUCCGCUUCGAAGAAAAUACAUUGGCUCCUCUUUGAAGAAAAUAUAAGAAAUCGAGCAAGGGGAGAUGAACUUUCUGUGUCGUCACUGGAUACUCUACAUGCCAUGUUCUUCGUGCAGUGUCAAUUCAAGCAGCUUCGACUGAUGUUGUCGAAGAGAGGGCAAGACAUAAUCAUGACCAAGUUUGUAGUACAAUUGAUGUAAACAACAAAACCAUUGUAUAUGGUGUAAUGUAACAUGAUUGUCUUCCUUAAAAAAAAUUGAUUUUAAGAUUUAAGUAUAGCUAGACCAAUCAUGCAAAUUGUCCACAAACGGGCGCGGCGUGCGCCGCGCCGAGGGCUU